GAGCCCCGCCCCGGAGCACAGGGUCGAGUCCCUCCUUUCCGCUCCAACGCACGGAGGGUGAGGUCGGUGCGCGGUGGCGUCACGGCGCCAGCUCCUCCCGACGCCGAGGUGGGUUCCGGGAGACCCGCGGGUCUGGCUGCGAGAGAUUUGGUAACUCGAGGCGUCCCUGGAGUACACUGAGGAUAAGUGUUUGAGAAAUGCUGUCUGAAGGAAUGAAGUCAGUCUAUGACAACGUCUCUCUGCCGUGAAUCAUUCCUGCAGAUGAAAAAGUGUGACUUGGCAGCUGCCAAUCUAAAAAGGGCCCUCAGGAUCGCCCACAAUGCCCAGCUUAGCUUCUUGACAAACACCUUAAUGGCGCAGCAUUGCCUGUUGGCUGCCAUCGGCUCUUGAGUGGGUGACAAGAAUGAAGAUAUACUGGAGGCCAUGAUCACAAUGAAAGAAUAUUUUGAUUUGGGAAUACGUUGGUGCUUCUUAGUAGGUCACUCUCUUACCCCUCCAAUCAUUCGGGGUCAAUCUUCCUUGACUACAGUUUCAAACCAAAGACUGUUCUCCAUCUCCUCAGCACAAACCACUAAAACCAGUCUCAAGGGCAGGAAUCCAUAAGUCCUGGGUCUAGGAGUCACACUCUGUUACUUAUUCAUGUGGCCUGUGAUAAUUGACUUGUCUCUUUCAUCCUGUUCUGAUCUUCCUCAGAAUCAAGUUGGAAACUAGGAAGGCCAGAAAAGUAUUUGAGGAGCAUUCUACUCAGCAAAUAAGAGAAGUGGUGCUUUUAAUAAAUCAAAUGAAGGAAGCCAGUUAGAGAAUCAGUGGGACCUCUUGAUGUGUAAGAUAAAAAAGAAAGACUAAAGAAAGCAUAGGAUCCUGUUUGUUGAGCUUCAAGGGGUCCGGGGUUGGGGGGUGUGGAGAAAAAGAAAGCAAAGGAGAAGAUAGACUGAAUAAAAAAAAUUUUUGGCUUGGUAAUGAAAGAUCAUAGAUACGAAAUGAAAAAUCAAUGAUAAUGAAAAAUGCUUUCAAUUUAGAAAUCAGGAGAACUAGGAAAAGUUCUACAGUAGUUCUGAAUCAUCUACUAUCACGUUCUGUGCCCUUGGGCAACUCAAUUAAAGAAGUAUCUAGUAAGUGCUGUAGUAGGUACUGGGUGAUCUCUAAGGUCACGGUUAUCUCUCAAUUUCUUUCUAUUGAUGCCACUACCAUUAGAUGACUAUCUAAAGAGUUCUGAAGGAACUCAAGGGUGAGCUUGUGGAACCACUGCCAAAAGGAAUAGCCUUGAUUUCUACCGAAGGAAGUACAAGUUGGCAAUGAGUCCCAUCUCUAAGAAGGGUUUUAGAAGGGGGCUUGGAGCCCCAUGCCCAUGAGUGCCUAUUUCAGAUCCAUGUAACUUUUUGAGAUAAAGGAUAAAGAGUAGAAUCAUUGAUUGCUCAUUGAAUACUUAAUGAUGAGCAUUGAGAAUCAGGGAUUUUGUUCAAUGUAAAAAAAUAAAACAUUUUGGUUGAGAAAGCCUUGCCUAAGAACCAACCUUCCUCUCCCCAAAAAUAAUGUUUAACUAUUAAAAAAUAAAUAGGGCUGGGCACGGUGGCUCACACCUAUAAUCCCAGCACUUUGGGAGGCUGAGGAAGGCGGAUCACUUGAGGUCACAAGUUUGAGACCAGCCUGGCCAAUACGGCGAAAACCCUUCUCUACUAAAAACACAAAAAUUCACCGGGCGUGGUGGUGCAUGCCUGUAAUCCCAGUUACUCAGGAGGCUGAGGCAGGAGAAUCGCUUGAACCUGGGAGGCGGAGGUUGCAGUGAGCCGAGAUCACCCCACUGCACUCCAGCCUGGGCAACAGAACAAGACUCUGUCUCAAAAAUAAAUAAAUAAAAUAAAUAAAAAUAAGUAAAUAAAUAAAUGACAAACUGGCUGGGGCUGCCUUAAAAAUGUUUCCUGGAGAAGAGAGAAGAAAAUGACAACUAGAGAAAUCAGGGAAAGUUUAUUGGAGAAGCAGGGCUUGAGCUGAAACUUUAAGGAAAGGUUUCAAAUGAAUGGGUAGGGGUGCAGAAGUAACUAUGUGACAAUGUCCAGAGAAAUAUGGGCAGCCUGUCUAAGGGUAAAGGAGAGAUGAGCUUGUCGAGUAAAGAUGCAUUAUCAAUAAGCAGUGGGAAAUACGGCCUGCUAAUGGAGGGGCAGGGUGGAGUCAGACUCCAGAGGGCUUAAAAGACAGAAAGAGGAGUAAGCAAGAUUAUCUGCUGGCUUAAAAGCAACAAUAUUUCUAUAAGGUGUCAAUCAAGUGAUCCCCUAGUGUUCAGUGAAAGGAUAAUUAGGCACAAAUUAUUGAGAGAAGCAGUGGAUAUAAUUUGUCUAUCUUUCAGGAAGUUUUGGACAAUGUAUUAGACAUUUAAAAUGGAGUCAUUGUCAAAUUAAGGAUGAUGUUUUUGUCACUUAGAAAACAAUAGAUAGAUAUAAAUGGUCACUUCCGUGAAUGAAAGGGGAUUAAGAGUGCAAGGGGCCCCAAGAGACCAUGCUGGGACCUGUCUCACUUAAAUUUUUUAUAAGUGAUCCAGAAGAAAUAGAGCAAAGUGAAAAUUUCAAGACUUCAGAUCAUAUUAAGCCCUUUCAGACGGGUAAAUGCUAUGCCAAAAGAGAAGGAAGGAGGAAGAGGUGGAGGAAGGGAGAAAGAGAGAGUGAGCGAAUGCUUGAAGGAAGUUACUGAGUGCAAUGCAAGAUGGCAGACAAACGUCAAGGUGGAGAAAUGUAAGGUAAUGCACUCCGAUAAAAAUAAUCCACAUACAGGGUGUUGUGUUCCAGGCUAUCAGUUUUGACCCAGGAAAAGGCUCCGGGAGCUAUUAUAGAUUGUUCCCUAAAGGCAGUGGCCUAGUGUGUUGAGAUCAGGAAAGCUGACAGAGGGAAGGGGGAAGCAGGAUGGGACCAAGAGAGCAAAGAAGAAACCAACCUUCCUUUAUGCAAAACCGUAGGGUCCUGUAUCUGGAGACAAUGGUCAAGUUGACAUCUAUUGAAAAUUAGGGCCAAAAGGUAUCUAGAAAAGGACAACUAAAAUGACCCAGAGAAUGAGUGUGGCUAUUCUAGGGGUCUCGUGUCAUAGGGGGAAACUUAAGUUUAAAAAGACAAAGGCUAAGAGGUGGAAUAAUCAAAGCCUAUAAAACUGAUACAGGUAAGGACUAGCUUCCUCUUAAUGCUUGAAAUAUUGUAGGAAUAAAAAAGUUUCAGAGUUGAGAUUGUCUAGCUCUAUCUCUUUAUGUUAGACAUGGUGAAAUUCAAGCCUAGAGAGGGCAAGGAAAUGGCUCAAGGUCACACAAACCAAUGAGGGCCAAGGUCAGAUCAGAGCCCAGGCCUCCUUAAUCCCAGGCCAGGGUCUUUCCACCUCAUCCUGUGCACUCAGGCAGUCUAAAGCAAUCUUUCUUCUAGGGUAUAAACUUAGGAAAUGCAUUACUUUAACAUGUGAUAAAACACAUGUGAAAACACAAAGAGGCUAAGGAAAGUUUCCACAACAAGUCAACCAGCAAUUAUAAAAUCUUUGGAGGACAACUGCCAACUGGCACUAAAGGUUCUUUUACACACCAUAUCUUUUUUGUUGUUUUGUGGAACCUGUAACCCUUUGAGAGGCUGAAGAAAUCUAGGGGUCCUCGCCUAGAAAUACACACAUUUGCACUUACAAAUUUGUACGCAAUUUCAGUGCACGUAUGACCCCCUGAGCUCCAUGCCCAAUUAAGAAUAUCUCUUGAGGCAGAUUCUUCUAAACAAACAGACUGCCUGCUUCAACAAAUAUACUCCAUCUCUUAGGGUGGCUGAGGCUAUCACUCUGAUUUUCCUCAGCAAAACACCAUUGUCCCAACAUCAUUUAUUAGAAUAUUGAAGUCCUCUAGGUUGGAAGAUACUAGAGAAAUUAGUCCAACUGCACCCCCCAUGAGAUAUAGGAUAAGGUCAUGGGUAAAUAAGGGGAGACUAGAGUCAGCCUGCCUAGGUUAGAAUUCCAACUCCAUCACUCACUAGCUGUGUGACCUUGGGCAAGUUACUUAAGCUCUUUGAGUCUGUAUCCCCAUCUGUAAAAUGGGGAUAAUAAUUGCAGCUAUUUCAUAGAGUAGUUAUGAGGAUUGAAUUGGAUAAUUCGUAUAAAACAUAGCACCAGGCCUGGCACAUAGUGAGUGUUCAGUAAAUGCUAGCUGGCAUUAUUGUGAUGAUGAUGUAUGCAUCCAUGCAAGCAUUAUGCAUGCCUCCAUCCAAUCCCCUCCGAGAGCUUUUACUUGCACAUGCCAGUGAUGAGCAGCUCGCCGCCUCCUAAGCUGGUUGAGCAGCUCCAAUUGUUACAAACUUCUUCCUAUAUCGAGCCCAAAUUUGUCUUCUUGCAACCCCCACUCCCGCUGGCCCUAGUUCUGCCCUGUGGGGCCAAGGUAGAACAAGUCUAUCCUACCUCCACCUGACAGCCCUUCAGCUACGAAGACAGUGAUCGAGUCCUUCCUCCGCCCUCCCCCUCCCCCUUCUCCAGCUUGAACAUCCUUGGUUUCUUCUCCCAACCCACAACAGACUGGCUGCGCUUACUAUUUACUCCGAGGCGUUGUACGGUUUCCCUCACACAUAGUCAUGCAGGCCACACACCCCACUGCCAACACAACAAACCCGACCCUCGUGCUCGGCCCCCGCCCGCUGCCCCUGUCCGCGGUGCUGAAGCAGCUCCCGGCCUCGGCGGCCCUUGGCGAGGCCCUCCCCAGCCCCCGCCCUGGGCCGCGCCAGCCCGGACCCAAGGCGUGGACCCCCGGCGCGCCGCCUCCGCGACCUCGGCAGUAGGUGCGGCCCGGCCCAGGCCCGUCCCCGGUGCCGCCCCCCGCCCUGCCCGGAUGCCCCGAGCCCGC